rnacentral:rRNA from 4 species
UCAUGACUGGGGUGAAGUCGUAACAAGGUAACCGUAGGGGAACCUGCGGUUGGAUCACCUCCUUACCUUAAAGAAGC